rnacentral:rRNA from 1 species
UUCUAUUAGAAAUUAUUAAUAGUAAGGUCUGCUCAAUGAAAAUUAAAUAGCCGCAAUAUCGUGCUAAGGUAGCAUAAUCAUUUGUCUUUUAAAUGAAGACUAGAACAAAAGACUUUACAUUUUUGUAUAUAUCAUUAAUAAAAAAUCAAAUUUAUCCUAAAUAUUAAAAGAUUUUUAUUUAUUAGAAAGACGACAAGACCCUAUUGAACUUAACUUAAGUUAAACUGGGGCAGUUAAUUAAUUAUAAUUUUAAUUUAAAAUUUUUAGAAAAUAUUCUAAUAUCAUUAAUAUAAUUAAGUUACCAUAGGGAUAACAGCGUAAUUAAAUUUCAAAGAUCAUAUAAAAAAUUUAAAUUACGACCUCGAUGUUGAAUAAUAACCUAAAUAAGGCAAGACUUAUUACAGGAAGUCUGUUCGACUUUUAAACAAUUACA